ACGAGACUCUGGGUCACCUCCCACCCAUGUUUAUUGUACCUUGUUGCUUCGGCGGGCCCGCCUCACGGCCGCCGGGGGGCUUCUGCCCUCUGGCCCGCGCCCGCCGAAGACACCAUUGAACACUGUCUGAAGAUUGCAGUCUGAGCAAUUAGCUAAAUAAGUUAAAACUUUCAACAACGGAUCUCUUGGUUCCGGCAUCGAUGAAGAACGCAGCGAAAUGCGAUACGUAAUGUGAAUUGCAGAAUUCAGUGAAUCAUCGAGUCUUUGAACGCACAUUGCGCCCCUUGGUAUUCCGGGGGGCAUGCCUGUCCGAGCGUCAUUGCUGCCCUCAAGCACGGCUUGUGUGUUGGGCCCCGUCCUCCUUCCCGGGGGACGGGCCCGAAAGGCAGCGGCGGCACCGCGUCCGGUCCUCGAGCGUAUGGGGCUUUGUCACCCGCUCUUGUAGGCCCGGCCGGCGCUUGCCGACAACCAUCAAUCUUUUUUCAGGUUGACCUCGGAUCAGGUAGGGAUACCCGCUGAACUUAAGCAUAUCAAUAAGCCGGAGGAA
rnacentral:rRNA from 1 species